rnacentral:rRNA from 1 species
UACGUAGGGCGCAAGCGUUAUCCGGAAUUAUUGGGCGUAAAGAGCUCGUAGGCGGCUUGUCGCGUCGACUGUGAAAACCCGCAGCUCAACUGUGGGCUUGCAGCCGAUACGGGCAGGCUAGAGUUCGGUAGGGGAGACUGGAAUUCCUGGUGUAGCGGUGAAAUGCGCAGAUAUCAGGAGGAACACCGGUGGCGAAGGCGGGUCUCUGGGCCGUAACUGACGCUGAGGAGCGAAAGCGUGGGGAGCGAACAGG